rnacentral:rRNA from 1 species
AUUGAACGCUGGCGGAAUGCUUUACACAUGCAAGUCGAACGGCAGCACGGACUUCGGUCUGGUGGCGAGUGGCGAACGGGUGAGUAAUACAUCGGAACGUGCCCAGUCGUGGGGGACAACGUAGCGAAAGCUACGCUAAUACCGCAUACGAUCUAAGGAUGAAAGCGGGGGAUCGCAAGACCUCGCGCGAUUGGAGCGGCCGAUGGCAGAUUAGGUAGUUGGUGGGGUAAAGGCUCACCAAGCCGACGAUCUGUAGCUGGUCUGAGAGGACGACCAGCCACACUGGGACUGAGACACGGCCCAGACUCCUACGGGAGGCAGCAGUGGGGAAUUUUGGACAAUGGGCGCAAGCCUGAUCCAGCCAUUCCGCGUGCAGGAUGAAGGCCCUCGGGUUGUAAACUGCUUUUGUACGGAACGAAAAGGCUCUGGUUAAUACCUGGGGCUCAUGACGGUACCGUAAGAAUAAGCACCGGCUAACUACGUGUCAGCAGCCGCGGUAA